AUUGAACGCUGGCGGCAGGCCUAACACAUGCAAGUCGAGCGAGCGGCGGACGGGUGAGUAAUGUCUGGGAAACUGCCUGAUGGAGGGGGAUAACUACUGGAAAAGGUAGCUAAUAACGCAUACCAUCAGAGGUGACCAGUGGGGUUUAGCUAGUAGGUGGGGUAAUGGCUCACCUAGGCGACGAUCCCUAGCUGGUCUGAGAGGAUGACCAGCCACACUGGAACUGAGCCACGGUCCAGACUCCUACGGGUGGCAUCAGUGGGGAAUAUUGCACAAUGGGCGCCAGCCUGAUGCAGCCAUGCCGCGUGUGUGAAGAAGGCCUUCGGGUUGUAAAGCACUUUCAGCGGUGAGGCGUUACCCGCAGAAGAAGCACCGGCUAACUCCGUGCCAGCAGCCGCGGUAAUAC
rnacentral:rRNA from 1 species